UGGUGAGUAACGCGUGAGGAACCUGCCUUUCGGAGGGGGACAACAGUUGGAAACGACUGCUAAUACCGCAUGAUACAUUUGGGCCGCAUGGUCUGAAUGUCAAAGAUUUAUCGCCGAAAGAUGGCCUCGCGUCUGAUUAGCUAGUUGGUGGGGUAACGGCCCACCAAGCGACGAUCAGUAGCCGGACUGAGAGGUUGGCCGGCCACAUUGGGACUGAGAUACGGCCCAGACUCCUACGGAAGGCAGCAG
rnacentral:rRNA from 1 species